rnacentral:sRNA from 1 species
AGCCAAGUGGACUCGACUCUUUUCUUGACUUAGCUACCAGGAGCUAGAGAUGCUAUUAUUCUAUCGUAUGUGAGAAGUCGGCCCAGAGAUGGAAAACUUUAUUCUGUAUGAGGAGAUCGGAAGAGGAAGCAAGAGUGUUGUGUAUAAAGGGCGACGGAAGGGAACAAUCAAUUUUGUAGCCAUUCUUUGUACUGAUAAGUGCAAAAGGCCUGAAAUAACCAACUGGGUCCGUCUCACCCAUGAAAUAAAACACAAGAAUAUUGUAACUUUUCAUGAAUGGUAUGAAACAAGCAAUCACCUCUGGCUAGUGGUGGAACUCUGCACAGGUAAGAAAGAGUAUGUAAAAAAUGCUGUGAAUAUAGUAUUGAAAAAAAAAUGCUGUUAAGUAUUGUUACUUUUGAUGUUAUUUACUAUGUUAACUUGAAAAUCUAUUGCUCUGUGGAUAUUAGGGAAGGGUGAAGAGCAAAGAUGUUUGGGAAAAAGAAUUAUGUAAAUUCAAUUCUGGGUUGGGUUUACUUUGGUAUAUUAUUACGUUACAUACAUAAAAAUUUAGAAAUGUUU